GACGAACGCUGGCGGCGUGCUUAACACAUGCAAGUCGAACGGAGAGGCCCUGCUUUUGUGGGGUGCUCGAGUGGCGAACGGGUGAGUAACACGUGAGUAACCUGCCCUUGACUUUGGGAUAACUUCAGGAAACUGGGGCUAAUACCGGAUAGGAGCUCCUGCUGCAUGGUGGGGGUUGGAAAGUUUCGGCGGUUGGGGAUGGACUCGCGGCUUAUCAGCUUGUUGGUGGGGGAGUGGCUUACCAAGGCUUUGACGGGUAGCCGGCCUGAGAGGGUGACCGGCCACAUUGGGACUGAGAUACGGCCCAGACUCCUAUGGGAGGCAGAAGUGGGGAAUAUUGCACAAUGGGCGGACGCCUGAUGCAGCAACGCCGCGUGCGGGAUGACGGCCUUCGGGUUGUAAACCGCUUUCGCCUGUGACGAAGCGUGAGUGACGGUAAUGGGUAAAGAAGCACCGGCUAACUACGUG
rnacentral:rRNA from 1 species